GAGGGCAUAGUUCAGCGGUAGAGUGCUUGCUUAGCAUGCAGGAGGUCCUGGGUUCAAUCUACAGUACCUUCA
rnacentral:tRNA from 1 species